GUAUUUAGAAUAUUAUAGAUUUAAGUUCAUGACCAAAAAAGCUAUAUUUAUAUAUGUGAUGUCUGCCAGUCUUUCUCUAUGGAAUCAUAAUUAAGUGUGAAUUUAUAGGUAAGCGUAAUAAAGUGUUUUAAGUGUUUCCCAGCUAGAUAUAUUCAGUUGCUGGCCACUGCAAGGCCAUUGGCCCAACAGUCUCCGCUGCUGGCCCUGGGCGUUAAUACCUUUGACCUGCUGAUCCAGCUGGCGAGGGGGGGGGCGUACACCCCUCACUACAGCCUGCAGUCACCCGCCUCACUUGUGCCUUCCUGAAGGAGGCAGGGCAGCCACCAAGCCUGUGGUUGGCUCACAGGAAGCCCCCAGAGCAUAAAAGUGACGAUGCAGGGGCAUCAUUGCAGCCCUAGAGAGGAAGAGGAACAUGGCUGAAGACUUGGUUAAAAGAUUAGUCAAAUAUAGGAUUGAAACAGAUCUUUAAAGUGUUCACAGCAAUUCGGCUUUCAUUUGUAAACAAAGAGCAGACAGCUAGGAAGAUGACACCAGCAGCGGCAGGCGGCGACAGGCAGUGUGACACCGUAGCCCUCCGCUCUGCCUGACAUGUGCUGCGUGCCACGCAACCAAACUCAAGUGGAACAUGCACUGUUACAUGUACCAGAUUAUCGGACACGCCUAACAAGUCUGGCGCCAUUCGUAAGGCAACAAAACUGCUUGUCUUGAAAGAAAGUCCAGUGACAGAGACAACCUUGGCCAGUGUUGUGUUCGCUUCCUGACAGGGCGGGGAUUGUGACCAGGAAUUUGUCCAGCUUCCUCUUUGCCUUGGAAAGUGCAUUCCUGGCUGAGUGUGGUGCGUGUGCCUGCUUCUUGUGUGGUGGUGCUGCUGCUGCGUGAAGCCUCUGCCGUGGGAACCCACCACAAAUAGCUAAUGGAUUCUGUAUGACGGGAUCAGCAGCAGACAGAAUUCCAGUGAUGUAUUAACAUGCCUAGGGACAGCCUUGGGGGCAUCCAUUACUGGCAGAAGCCCGAGUGUGCUGAGUGAUGGGGGCGGCAUGACCUU